rnacentral:rRNA from 1 species
UACAGAGGUCUCAAGCGUUGUUCGGAUUCAUUGGGCGUAAAGGGUGCGUAGGUGGCGCCAUAAGUCGGGUGUGAAAUCUCGGAGCUUAACUCCGAAACUGCAUUCGAUACUGCCGUGCUUGAGGACUGGAGAGGAGACUGGAAUUUACGGUGUAGCGGUGAAAUGCGUAGAUAUCGUAAGGAAGACCAGUGGCGAAGGCGGGUCUCUGGACAGUUCCUGACGCUGAGGCACGAAGGUCAGGGGAGCAAACGGG